GAUGAGAACGCAGCGAAAUGCGAUAAGUAAUGUGAAUUGCAGAUUUCAGUGAAUCAUCGAAUCUUUGAACGCACAUUGCGCCCAUUAGUAUUCUAGUGGGCAUGCCUGUUCGAGCGUCAUUAAGUCCACUUAAGCCCUGCUUAGUGUUGGGAGACUGCUCCAGCGGUGCUACCCUGUAGCUACCCUGCAGCUCCUCAAAGACAGCGGCGGAGUUGUGGUAUCCUCUGAGCUUAGUAACUUGUUCUAGCUUUCGAGUACACCACUUCCCCUGCCGUAAAACCCUUAAUUUUUAAUGGUUGACCUCGGAUCAGGUAGGAAUACCCGCUGAACUUAAGCAUAUCAAUAAGCGGAGGA
rnacentral:misc_RNA from 1 species